CCAAAAUCCUCAAAAUCUCCAACGUCGUCAAACUGAAACCCAACCCUCAGAGAGGAGAGAGAAAGUACAACAAUGGCGGAACAUUUAGCUUCGAUAUUCGGGACAGAGAAAGAUAGAGUGAACUGUCCAUUCUACUUCAAGAUCGGAGCUUGCAGACAUGGCGAUCGAUGUUCAAGGCUUCAUACUAAGCCCAGUAUCAGCCCUACUUUGCUGCUUGCUAACAUGUAUCAACGCCCUGAUAUGAUUACUCCUGGUGUUGAUCCUCAAGGCCAGCCUCUUGAUCCUACCAAAAUUCAACAACACUUUGAGGAUUUCUAUGAGGAUUUAUUCGAGGAACUAAACAAGUACGGGGAGAUUGAGAGUCUCAACAUUUGUGACAAUUUGGCUGACCACAUGGUGGGCAAUGUUUACGUGCAAUUUCGAGAGGAAGAACAUGCUGCUGAAGCUGUUAGGAACUUGAGUGGAAGGUUUUAUGCUGGCCGUCCAAUUAUUGUCGACUUCUCUCCUGUAACAGACUUCAGGGAAGCAACAUGCAGGCAGUAUGAAGAGAAUGUGUGCAACCGUGGAGGUUACUGCAACUUUAUGCAUUUGAAAAAAAUAAGCAGGGAGCUCAGACGUCAGUUGUUUGGAAGGUAUAGAAGGAGGCGUAGCCGUAGUAGAAGUCAUAGUCCUCCACGACAUCGGGGACAUGGAGAUAGGGGACAUGGAGAUCGUCCACAUGGUGGCCGUGGUGGAUAUGGUGGUAGAAGAGAGGAUGAUAGAAAUCAGCGAUACCCUGACAAGGGUAGGAGGCCUAGAAGCCGUAGCCCUGGGCAUAGGGGAAGAAGUCCUGUAGGUAGAAGGGAUAGGAGUCCAGUGAGGGAGAAUAGUGAGGAAAGAAGAGCAAAGAUUGAGCAGUGGAACAGGGAAAGAGACCAGACUGAUAAUGGGAAUAAUGAUGUUAGUCAUGAUGCCAAUGAUAACCAUGCGAACGGGUCCGUGGAGAAUGGGGAGGAUUACUAUGACCGUCCUCAACAGUAAAUGGAUGAAGUGGUUUAGCAGACAACAUUCACUACUUUUGGUGGAGUACAGGUUCACUGCUUAAAGAUAAUGAAAGUAGAACCUUUUUUCCAACUUUUGAAAUGAACAUGAUAUAUUGGUUCAUAAGCAAUAUGGAGAAUGAAAUGUAUUCCCAUCCGCCUGGAAAUCAGUUGCAAAUAUGUUAUAGGUUUGGUUUCAUGCUUUAGUGGGAACUAUCCCAGUAUUUUUUUUGGUCGUUUAAUGUUUAAUCUUACGUAGUUUGUCAAGGUGUGCAGGUCCAGGUUUUCCUGUAAGAUGGCAGAGACCUCGUCUUUUAUAGCAGCUUAUUGUUAUAUUUCUAUACAGGUUGUCUGUUUUCAAAAUCAGCUCGUUUGCAGAAUCUUUUUCAAAGUUGAAGUGAUGGAUGGAUUGAAGAUUUUACGCGCCGGCGAGAAGCUUCAGUUUAGUUCUUGGUGUGUAAUAUUUUUUUCUCAGGGACCAUAUUGCAGUGUCAAAAAGUUUCUUUGCUAGUGUUUUGGGAGACUGUUGUGCUUUCAUAUUGAAGACUAUCUAACUGGAAAUUUGGAAACGUACUGAAUUCUAUCCUGUUUUUCAGUUUUACUUCACUCAUCAUUGUUAUUCUAUAUGUAACUUACAAAAGAUGCAAGGCAGGAGGCAAAAUCUUCAACCCA